ACGCACAUGCUCUGCUCACUCAAGUCUCCAUUCACAAGGGGACAGGGAUGAUCACUAUGAUUUUGAAAAUGACCAUGAAUCGUAUGAUACACCCCUAUUUAAUAUACAUGCAAUGGGAUUUCGGGACGAAUCUAUUUUCUGGCUGGCUAUUCAAAGUCAGACCAGCAGAAGCUGAGAGAUCAGCAAACGCUCAUUGGACAAAUCAGUCAGUAAUUGUAUUGUUUAUUCACUAUCGCAUAAUCCGAAAUCGAGUUUGACGGUCGAUGACAUAUCCGCAUGAAUAUUCAGAAGUAUUUCCAUGUAAAUGUACUCGGAGAGAAGCGAAGAGACAGACAGAUGUACACAUGCACACUUCUCUGCAGCAGUAUCAGACAGGUGCUGUAACUUCACAACCCUGCCACCGAAUUUUAACCUCACAAAAGACACCGGGCACCGUCGCAUGUUUUAGUGCAUAUUCAGCAUGAAAAAUACAUUUGUGUUUUUAAGAACAAAAUCAUCAAGACAUUUUCCUCUUCAAACUGGAGAGGACGCCGGUGCUAUCACGGAUUAUGGACCCAUAUUUUGGUCAGAUGUGACGGUUUAAAGUUCAAAUAAAUUUAAUGAAUAUAUUUCCUUGCAAACAGCUUUUCAAAGUA